rnacentral:rRNA from 1 species
UACGGAGGGGGCUAGCGUUAUUCGGAAUUACUGGGCGUAAAGCGCACGUAGGCGGCUCUUUAAGUCGGGGGUGAAAUCCUGGAGCUCAACUCCAGAACUGCCUUCGAUACUGUAGAGCUUGAGUUCGGGAGAGGUGAGUGGAACUGCGAGUGUAGAGGUGAAAUUCGUAGAUAUUCGCAAGAACACCAGUGGCGAAGGCGGGUCUCUGGGCCGAUACUGACGCUGAGGAGCGAAAGCGUGGGGAGCGAACAGG